rnacentral:misc_RNA from 1 species
GAUGAAGAACGCAGCAAAAUGCGAUACUUGGUGUGAAUUGCAGAAUCCCGUGAACCAUCGAGUUUUUGAACGCAAGUUGCGCCCGAAGCCUUUUGGCCGAGGGCACGUCUGCCUGGGCGUCACGCAUCGCGUCGCCCCCCACAAUUCUCCGUAAAAGGAACAUGUGUUUUGGGGGCGGAUAUUGGUCUCCCGUGCUCAUGGCGUGGUUGGCCGAAAUAGGAGUCCUUUCGAUGGACGCACGAACUAGUGGUGGUCGUAAAAUCCCUCGUCUUUUGUUUCGUGCUGUUGCUCGCAAGGUAAACUCUUUAAAAACCCCAAUGUGUCGUCUCUUGACGACGCUUCGACCGCGACCCCAGGUCAGGCGGGACUACCCGCUGAGUUUAAGCAUAUCAAUAGCGGAGGA